rnacentral:rRNA from 1 species
GACGAACGCUGGCGGCGUGCCUAAUACAUGCAAGUCGAGCGGACCGACCAGGAGCUUGCUCUUGUUCGGUUAGCGGCGGACGGGUGAGUAACACGUGGGUAACCUGCCCGUAAGACCGGGAUAACUCCGGGAAACCGGAUCUAAUACCGGAUAACACCGAAGACCGCAGGGUCCUUGGGUGAAAGGCGGCUUCGGCUGCCACUUACGGAUGGGCCCGCGGCGCAUUAGCUAGUUGGUGAGGUAACGGCUCACCAAGGCGACGAUGCGUAGCCGGCCUGAGAGGGUGACCGGCCACACUGGAACUGAGACACGGCCCAGACUCCUACGGGAGGCAGCAGUAGGGAAUCUUCCGCAAUGGGCGAAAGUCUGACGGAGCGACGCCGCGUGAGUGAAGAAGGUCUUCGGAUCGUAAAGCUCUGUUGUUAGGGAAGAAGAGGCGUCGUUCGAACAGGGCGGCGCGGUGAGGGUACCUAACAAGAAGGCCCCGGCUAACUACGU